CCUGCACCCUCCAGUGAUCAGGAGCCACCUGUCCAUGCCCCAAGACCGGAAAGGCAGCAGGAACCACCGGGAGCACAGGACUGUCCUGAGUGUGCCGAGCUGGAGAGAGAGAUAGACGACCUUAAAGAGCGACUAGCGGCCAUGGAGAGCAUCCUUGAAAAGUUCCAGGCCAUCUGAAGUGAGAGAGCUGAACCCAGCAUCUUUCUACCAGAGAAGCAGCUGGUACCUCUGGAGCCCCGGAGCUGCGGCCAAGCUGGAUCCCUCCGUUCCUUCUUCACCCGCGGCUUCCUCUCACCCCCUGCUCUUGCCCUCACCUCACCCGA